UCAGCCGCUCCAUUCACACAGCGGCCCCAGCCAGGCCCAGCAGCGCGCGCGCUCCUCAGGGGCACACACCCUCGGAGUGUGGGGCGGGCCCGAGGGAGAGUCCUUGUCACCUACACCCCCCUCUCCAACCCGCCUCUGCAGCCACCCUCCCCUUGCCUCCCUUUCAGGCCUCCCCGAGUGCGGGCGCCUUGGGGCGCGGACGAGUCCCUCCGGAUAAACUUCAGAUAACAUAAUGUAAGCAUCUGGAGUUCCUUGGCUCCAGGGCUCUCACUACUCGCUUCACCUGCCUGAACUAGGAUCCACAGCAUCUGUAUCCAUGUGGGUCACCAAGGACCCUAAGCCAUAUGGAAUGACUAGUCUGGGAGACUCCAUAUCUACCAAGCAUCAGAGCAACUUGAGUGGUGGUUCAGAUCCAUCUCUAGCACAGCAGGAAGGCAGAAAUCAGCGGCUGCGAAGCAGGUGUGCCCGUCCCCCUACUUCAGAGGCCACUCACUUUGAAGCUGGAGAAUCAAGGACGCUGGUACCUUCAAGGAAACGGGGAUAUAAUUAUCACAACGCUCAAUUUGCUGGUGACCUUCCAUUCCUCGGGCCUACCCUACUCCCUUUGCUGGCACCAGCCCAGGUCCUCGCAAACAGAGCUUGGUGUCCCAGACACUCAGAUGGAGGAGCAACCUCAUCAGGCACCCUUUGAAAUCCAUCCUAAUCUCUUUCUACUAUACUGCUUUCCCUGACAUAAAUCCGCCAGCCCGCAGGGCCCCAGGCCCCUCCGCCCAGGGAGGCCCACACAGGCCAAGUGGAGUCUCAGCAGCCUGGGUGUGGAAUUUAUGCCUCCCUUCAUUCACCUGAGCCGCCUGUCUGGGACUCUCAGCUCCACCGUGUCUGUAAAGGUUUCAAACAUAACCUUCCAGCUUCUUACCAACCCCCCCCCCAUCACUCUGUCAUAGAAGGAGACUUCUCAGAGCCAUAGGAAGCUCAGAGAAAGGAAGCUUAAUUUUCUUAUUGCAUGUGAAAUGCUGAA